UGGGGAAUAUUGCACAAUGGAGGGAACUCUGAUGCAGCGACGCCGCGUGAACGAAGAAGGCUUUCGAGUCGUAAAGUUCUUUUAUAUGGGAAGAUAAUGACGGUACCAUAAGAAAAAGCCCCGGCUAACUACGUGCCAGCAGCCGCGGUAAUACGUAGGGGGCUAGCGUUGUCCGGAAUCACUGGGCGUAAAGGGUUCGCAGGCGGAAAUGCAAGUCAGGUGUAAAAGGCAGUAGCUUAACUACUGUAAGCAUUUGAAACUGCAUAUCUUGAGAAAGGUAGAGGUAAGUGGAAUUUUUAGUGGAGCGGUGAAAUGCGUAGAUAUUAAAAAGAAUACCGGUGGCGAAGGCGACUUACUGGGCUCAUUCUGACGCUGAGGAACGAAAGCGUGGGUAGCAAACAGG
rnacentral:rRNA from 1 species